CCUACGGGGCGCAGCAGUGGGGAAUAUUGCACAAUGGGGGAAACCCUGAUGUAGCGACGCCGCGUGAGUGAAGAAGUAUCUCGGUACGUAAAGCUCUAUCAGCAGGGAAGAAAAAAAGUCUUUGGCUUUGGACGGUACUUGACUAAGAAGCCCCGGCUAAAUACGUGCCAGCAGCCGCGGUAAUACGUAUGGGGCAAGCGUUAUCCGGAUUUACUGGGUGUAAAGGGAGCGUAGGCGGUACGGCAAGUCAGAAGUGAAAGCCUGGGGCUCAACCCCGGAAUUGCUUUUGAAACUGUCGAACUAGG
rnacentral:rRNA from 1 species